AUUGAACGCUGGCGGCAUGCCUUACACAUGCAAGUCGAGCGGCAGCGCGGGGGCAACCCUGGCGGCGAGCGGCGGACGGGUGAGUAAUACAUCGGAACGUGUCCUUUCGUGGGGGAUAACCAGUCGAAAGACUGGCUAAUACCGCAUGAGAUCUCACGAUGAAAGCGGGGGACCGCAAGGCCUCGCGCGAUUGGAGCGGCCGAUGUCGGAUUAGCUAGUUGGCGGGGUAAGAGCCCACCAAGGCGACGAUCCGUAGCUGGUUUGAGAGAACGACCAGCCACACUGGGACUGAGGCACGGCCCAGACUCCUACGGGAGGCAGCAGUGGGGAAUUUUGGACAAUGGGCGCAAGCCUGAUCCAGCCAUGCCGCGUGUGUGAAGAAGGCCUUCGGGUUGUAAAGCACUUUCGGCCGGAACGAAAUCGCGCGGGCGAACAUCCCGCGUGGAUGACGGUACCGGAAGAAGAAGCACCGACUAACUACGUGCCAGCCGCCGCAGUAAAAC
rnacentral:rRNA from 1 species